ACUGACAUUGACAUGCUAUAUAAUUAUUGUUCAUGUUCAUUAAUAGAGUCCAUGUUAAUAACUGAAACCUUAUUAAAAAGUGUUACUAAAGUUUUAUAUAUUGUUCUGUGUGUGUGUCUUUCACAGUCUUGAUGGUUUGGAUUAACCCUUUAAUUGCCGAAUCCUUUAAAACCAGACUGCCAGAGAGUUACUGUAAAUGCAUGUGCCCGGUGGGCACAGUUUUCCCGAUGCCACAGGGGUGGCGUUUGCACUGAUGGCUUGAGCCCGCCAUCGCUGCUUGCAGCUAUAUUUUUUUUUAUUUUUCUUUCGACUAAACGGGGCUUUUUGGGGGCCUUAAAGUGCUCAAAAACUCUUGAAAAUUGGCACACACAUUGGAAUCUGCGGUCAUUAGGACGCCGCAGAGACUUGGCCCCCGGCGUGGCACAGGGACUCUACGGCGCCCCCUGGAACACAGUCAGAAAUCUUGAACCAUAGCUCACACAAACUUGCAUGUAUUUAUAUGAAACUCUGUACACUUAUAGAUCUCAUUGAGCCGAACAACUUUUGCACUCUAUGUCAUAGGCUCCGCCCAACAGGAAGUCAGCUAUUCAGGGUUGUUUAAAAAGUGCAUGCUCUGGAAUUUGAUAUACUCCUCUGAGGAUUUCCACCCAUUCGCCACAAAACUCUGUGAACAUGAUCUCAAGACAUUGGGGAUGAAAAAUUGCCAGGGGAUUUUUGAUAUCUCGAACGGUUUGCUCGUGGCGAGGC
ensembl:lncRNA